UACAGAGGGUGCGAGCGUUGUUCGGAAUCAUUGGGCGUAAAGCGCUUGUAGGCGGCUUGUUAAGUCGCGUGUGAAAUCCCUUGGCCCAACCAAGGAAGUGCGCGCGAAACUGGCGAGCUCGAGUGCCGGAGAGGGUCGCGGAAUUCCCGGUGUAGAGGUGAAAUUCGUAGAUAUCGGGAGGAACACCAGUGGCGAAGGCGGCGACCUGGACGGACACUGACGCUGAGACGCGAAAGCGUGGGGAGCAAACAGG
rnacentral:rRNA from 1 species